UACGUAGGGGGCAAACGUUGUCCGGAAUCAUUGGGCGUAAAGAGCGUGUAGGCGGUUCGGUAAGUCGGCUGUGAAAGUCCAGGGCUCAACCCUGGGAUGCCGGUCGAUACUGCCGGACUAGAGUUCGGAAGAGGCGAGUGGAAUUCCCGGUGUAGCGGUGAAAUGCGCAGAUAUCGGGAGGAACACCUAUGGCGAAGGCAGCUCGCUGGGACGUUACUGACGCUGAGACGCGAAAGCGUGGGGAGCAAACAGG
rnacentral:rRNA from 1 species